UGUAGCGGUGAAUAGAAAUGAACAUCAGUCAUCAGAUGCUGCAGUCUCCAAGAACUCUGCCAGUCAUGAAGAGGCAGAGACCUGCAACGACAUCUCCGGUACUCACUAAUAAACCAUGCACUCCAUCAACACCUCCAAUCCCAAAAGUCACCCCAAAGACCCACCAGAGCAAGAACCCCACCUCCAUUACAUCUUCAAUCAAGAAAGCCAAAAGACGCCUCACCCCAACCUUCAACGAUCCCAAAUCCAAAGAAACCCUACCACCCACAGCAGAGGCCCCAAGAACAUCUCUAAAAUGGGAGACCCUCAACCUGGGAAGAUCAGAGCUUUUCUUGCCCCUCACAUUCCCCACUGGUCAGACCUUCCGAUGGAAGCAAACAGGCCCUUCUCAGUACACAGGCGUUGUCAAGUCCCACCUCUUCUCCCUCAAGCAGCUCGACGACGGCAAUGGUGAUGUCGCCUACUUCCUUCAUCGGACCACAACCGGUGAAGCCGACGCCAGAGCCGCUCUCCUUGAUUAUCUCAACAUGGGAAUCUCGCUUGGGGACAUGUGGGCGUCGUUCUCGGCUUCUGAUACCAGGUUUGCCGAUUUGGCGCCACAUCUGGGUGGUGCUCGUGUUCUCAGGCAAGACCCUGUUGAGUGUCUCUUUCAGUUCCUCUGUUCUUCUAAUAACAAUAUUGGGAGAAUUACCCGGAUGGUGGAUUUCAUUUCUUCUCUAGGCAGUUAUCUGGGAACUGUUGAAGGAUUCGAUUUCCAUGAAUUUCCGUCUUUGGAGCGGUUGUCGCUUGUGUCAGAGGCGGAGCUUCGAGAGGCUGGUUUUGGUUACAGGGCCAAGUAUAUAGUUGGUACAGUUAAGGCUUUGCAAUCCAAACCUGGUGGAGGUACAGAAUGGCUUUCAUCUCUUCGUGAAUUGGAUCUUGAUGAGGUGGUUGAUGCUCUAUCUACUUUACCUGGAAUUGGACCAAAAGUUGCAGCUUGCAUUGCUCUCUUCUCUCUAGACCAACACCAUGCCAUCCCUGUUGAUACACAUGUGUGGCAGAUUGCUACUCGAUACCUCAUUCCAGAACUUGCAGGUGCACGUCUUACCCCCAAGCUUUGCGGUCGUGUGGCUGAGGCAUUUGUGAGCAAAUUUGGAAAAUAUGCUGGCUGGGCACAAACUUUACUUUUCAUUGCUGAGUUGCCUUCUCAAAAAGCCUUCCUACCAUCAGGGUGCUUGAGUGCCAAGGAAAUCAAAGCUGCUAAGGGAGAUGGGGAUGCAGAGGCUGAUUCAUAAAUAUGACUGUGUCUGGACUUGGAGAGGUAUGGAUGAAAGACUUAACAACAGUUUUGGACUUGUUGAAAUUAAAUGGAUUCAGAUUCUUUGUUGAACGUGUUGUACUAUGUACUGGUAGAGAUUGAUUUCCAAGUAGAUGGCUCUCUGAGGUAAAAUGGAAUGAUUGACGGCGGUAGUUGGUUUGUCAUCAGUGUAAGUGCAGCUUUGUUUCUUUAUCCAAUAGAGCCACACUUCAUUUGUAUAUAUAUUUGAGCUCAGAUUCUUGUAAUUCCAGUAUUUCGCCUUUGAUAGUAGACCAAUUAUGAGAUCUGUUUAUAGUGUUUGGUGGAGUUGCAACAAGGUUACUUAUAUGAAGUCAAAUUGCAACUUAUUUGUCAGGCAAGUUAAAAGUAGAAUUUGAGUAUCGUUAAAGCA